rnacentral:rRNA from 1 species
AUUGAACGCUGGCGGCAUGCCUAACACAUGCAAGUCGAACGAGUGGCGGACGGGUGAGUAAUGUCUGGGAAAUUGCCUGAUGGAGGGGGAUAACUACUGGAAACGGUAGCUAAUACCGCAUACCUUCCGAUGUGCCCAGAUUGGAUUAGCUUUUUGGUGGGGUAACGGCUAACCAAGUCGAUGAUCCCUAGCUGGUCUGCGAGGAUGACCAGCCACACUGGAACUGAGCCACGGUCCAGACUCCUACGGGAGGCAGCAGUGGGGAAUAUUGCACAAUGGGCGCAAGCCUGAUGCAGCCAUGCCGCGUGUAUGAAGAAGGCCUUCGGGUUGUAAAGUACUUUCAGCGGGGAGGCGUUACCCGAAGAGAAAGCACCGGCUAACUCCGUGCCAGCAGCCGCGGUAAUUC